UACGUAGGGUGCGAGCGUUGUCCGGAAUUAUUGGGCGUAAAGAGCUUGUAGGCGGUUUGUCGCGUCUGCUGUGAAAAUCCGGGGCUCAACCCCGGACUUGCAGUGGGUACGGGCAGACUAGAGUGUGGUAGGGGAGACUGGAAUUCCUGGUGUAGCGGUGAAAUGCGCAGAUAUCAGGAAGAACACCCGUGGCGAAGGCGGCUCUCUGGGACGGUACUGACGCUGAGACGCGAAAGCGUGGGUAGCAAACAGG
rnacentral:rRNA from 1 species